CACAGUUUGCAUAUUGCAAAAGUCUUGUCAAGCUCCACCUACCUCUGGAGAUGUUAUAAUCCAAAUCCAAAUGCUUUCCCUCACUGAAAAUGGCUCUGUUUACAAGUUGGGACGCUGCAGUUACAAUGUCAGUGUGCCAUCUUCAUCCCUCGCUCUGGACCAGACUGUUGACAGCUUGCUGGCUUGUCUGUCAUGACGCAGUGAUGGAAAACCAGAGGUUGUGGCAAGGGCCUGAUUGGGGCGGCCCAUAUGCCUUUAAUACAACACCAGAUGUGGAGCAGCUUAGGGCUCCCAUCCCUUCUCAUCUGCUUCCUACAGCCCUUCUUCACUCACUGCCAACCGUAUCAUCCCA
ensembl:lncRNA